ensembl:lncRNA
CUUUCACAAUACAAAUCAUUGCAAAGCAGAUUUACAGAAAAUUAAAGUUUUUACAUUAUAUUCGUGAUAGCUUAUCAGUGGUGAGUAUGACUAUUUGAUGUCCAUAUGGCAGAAAUGUAGAGUAAAAAUCUAACUAAAAACGGUGAAAACUAUUAAGAACGAUAAUAUGUUGCAAUCAAACUUAUAGCAAAAUUUGGUAGUUUUGUAUGUUGUUUCAGGAUUGCCAUCAUCUGAAGGCCUCUGAGGGUGAUGGAUGACAAGCCGUGAGACCAGGGAACUGUUUAACAAGUGUAUCUUUACUUGAGAUGCAGGAGUUAGUCCACAUACAUGAAACUUCUCUACGAUAACACACUUGAGCACGCAUAGAGCCUCGCGUGUGAAGACUUCAGUGCCAGACCUCACAAAGAUUUCAGAUGAUGGCAACUGUAGAUGAACAUGCAAAGCUGCUAAAUAAUCCUUAUAUUGUAAUCAUUGCCCAAAAAGGUAACAAACCAAAGGAUGAGGACAGUAGCUUUUCUGUGCCAGCCGUGGUACAUACAGGAACAUCCUUCGUGAAGAUGCGUCAGAGAAGCAUGUAAGGCAAGAUGAGUAUUUUUUUUAUAUAUAUAAAUAAUAUAAUAUUUUUAUAUAUUUAUCUAUUUGUUGGUAAUUGAUAGAUUUAUGUUUUAUUCCCUGUAGAGUAGGAAUAAUACAUGUUUGUGAAAAAUGUUAUCUAUUUUUAAAGCCCAGUGUCAAUGAAGAUGGUGUGGUCAGUGGAAUUCUGCUGUUCAUGGGAAAUCUGAAGGAACAUCUCCCAGUAUUCUACUACCAUGUUGCCCUGAUGAUUGAGGUAAUUCACCUCUUAGGUGAUGCAGAUGUGGUCAAAAGUUUACACACCUUGCAGAAUAUAUUCUGCUUCAUCAGGGCAGCAAUUUUUUAA